rnacentral:snRNA from 1 species
GGAUGUGAGGGCGAUCUGGCUGCGACAUCUGUCACCCCAUUGAUCGCCAGGGUUGAUUCGGCUGAUCUGGCUGGCUAGGCAGGUGUCCCCUUCCUUCCUCACCGCUCCAUGUGCAUCCCUCCCGAAGCUGCGCGCUCGGUCAAAGAGGACGACCAUCCCCAAUAGAGGAGAACCGUUCUUCGGUCAAGGGUAUACGAGUAGCUGCGCUCCCCUGCUAGAACCUCCAAACAAGCUCUCAAGAAUACUAGGAUAACUAAAGAUUUUCUACUUUCAGUACAGAAACUUUGAAAUUAGGCUGCCUUU